AGGGGAUAGCUCAGUGGUAGAGUGUGUGCUUCAUAUGCACAAGGUCCUGGGUUCAAUCCUCCGGACCUCUG
rnacentral:tRNA from 1 species